UCUCACCACCGGUUUUCGACGUGCACCUUGGCACAGAUUCGAUUCGUUCUUAGCCGAGCGGGUGAAAACUGCUGGAAGGUACUAUCGAAAGGGACUUAUGUGAAGAACGUGUACCCAGGAAUGGCAGUAACGUUUCAACAGUUCUGUGCGGUCAUGCCUUACGACAAA
rnacentral:lncRNA from 1 species